rnacentral:rRNA from 1 species
AUUGAACGCUGGCGGCAUGCCUUACACAUGCAAGUCGAACGGCAGCACGGGUGCUUGCACCUGGUGGCGAGUGGCGAACGGGUGAGUAAUACAUCGGAACGUACCUUAUCGUGGGGGAUAACGCAGCGAAAGCUGUGCUAAUACCGCAUACGCCCUGAGGGGGAAAGCGGGGGAUCGCAAGACCUCGCGCGAUUAGAGCGGCCGAUGCCUGAUUAGCUUGUUGGUGGGGUAAAAGCCCACCAAGGCGACGAUCAGUAGCUGGUCUGAGAGGACGAUCAGCCACACUGGGACUGAGACACGGCCCAGACUCCUACGGGAGGCAGCAGUGGGGAAUUUUGGACAAUGGGGGCAACCCUGAUCCAGCAAUGCCGCGUGAGUGAAGAAGGCCUUCGUGUUGUAAAGCUCUUUUGUCCGGGAAGAAACACCGGCUCUAACACAGUCCGGGAAUGACGGUACCUGAAGAAUAAGCACCGGCUAACUACGUGCCAGCAGCCGCGGUAA